rnacentral:rRNA from 1 species
AACGAACGCUGGCGGCAUGCCUAACACAUGCAAGUCGAACGAUUGCCUUCGGGUGAUAGUGGCGCACGGGUGCGUAACGCGUGGGAAUCUGCCCUUAGGUUCGGAAUAACAGCUGGAAACGGCUGCUAAUACCGGAUGAUAUCGCGAGAUCAAAGAUUUAUCGCCUGAGGAUGAGCCCGCGUUGGAUUAGGUAGUUGGUGGGGUAAAGGCCUACCAAGCCGACGAUCCAUAGCUGGUCUGAGAGGAUGAUCAGCCAUACUGGGACUGAGACACGGCCCAGACUCCUACGGGAGGCAGCAGUGGGGAAUAUUGGACAAUGGGCGCAAGCCUGAUCCAGCAAUGCCGCGUGAGUGAUGAAGGCCCUAGGGUUGUAAAGCUCUUUUACCCGGGAAGAUAAUGACUGUACCGGGAGAAUAAGCCCCGGCUAACUCCGUG